rnacentral:tRNA from 1 species
GGGCUGUUCGGACCUAGGGUUAGGUCAGCUGCGUCGCAAACAACAUUUAGGGGUUCGACUCCCCAACGGUCCACCA